CAAUUCCCAGCCCUCAGGCAUUCUGCAAGGGAAGCUGAGAGUUGCUUAAGAAGAAGAAAUGUAUGACACGGUGAUGAAGGCUUGUGGGUGGCUCAGCGGAAGCCUUGGGAGUUCCAGGGGGUGAAGAUGUCCAAGUAUCUUUAGGGCCAAGGAGAUGGCUCUGCCAGGAAAUAUACGCUUGCUGCCAAGCUUGAAGAGCUGACUUGGAGCCCUAGGACCCACACAGUAGAAGGAGAGAACCUCCUACAAGCUGUCCUCUGACCUCCACUCUCAUGCGGCGGCAUGCGCACCUGCCCACACAGCGACACAUACAUCAAUAAUAAAUGCUGCGAUUGCGGUAAGUGAAUGAAGUCUCCGAGGGACCGAGAGCCUGACACCGAAGUCGUAACCACACCAGCUGGAUGCACUUGCCCUGGGGAUAAAUGUCCACACGCACAAAUGCAGCAGGAGGAACUUUGCAAAAUGAAACUUGGAGGGACUGGAAAGAUGCUGCAGUGGUUAAGAGUGCUUACUGCUCUUGCAAAGGACCUGAAUUUGGCUCUGAGCAUCCAUGAUACUUGGCUCACAAAAGGCUAUAAAGCCCAACUCCAGGGGGAUUUGCCACCUCUGGCCUCUGAGGAUACCUGUGCCCAAGUGCACAUACACACAGAGAAAAUAUUCACACACACACACACACACACACACAAGAAUUAGAGAGAAUCAGUGAAUUGGAAGAUAAUAGCAAUAUUUCAGUACAAAUGAGCACAUAGAAACUAGGUAAGAGAUAAUUUGAUUUAUGUUUAAUAACAGUUCUAGAGGAGAAAAGAGCAAAAAAACCAAAGAGCUAACAGCUAAGAGUUUUCUAAAAUUGAGGCUAGAUAUCAGUCUCUGUUUACUCCAGGCAAGAUACAUUAAAGAAAUUCUAGGGCUAGAUACAGUGUGACACACACCUUUAAUCCCAGCACUUGGGAGGCAGAGGCAGGAAGAUUUCUGUGAGUGGAGACUAGCCUUGUCUACAUGGGGAGUUCUAAGACUAGACAGAGCUACGAAGA